GGCGUAAACAAAGGGAAGCGAGACGGCGACGUUGAGCAAAUCCAGAAAUAACGUCCCAGUUCGGAUUGUAGUCUGCAACCCGACUACAUGAAGCUGGAAUCGCUAGUAAUCGCGAAUCAGAAUGUCGCGGUGAAUACGUUCCCGGGUCUUGUACACACCGCCCGUCACACCAUGGGAGUCGGAAAUGCCCGAAGUCAGUGACCUAACCGAAAGGGAGGAGCUGCCGAAGGUGGAGCCGGUAACUGGGGUGAAGUCGUAACAAGGUACC
rnacentral:rRNA from 1 species